AAUUGACGGGGGCCCGCACAAGCGGUGGAGCAUGUGGUUUAAUUCGAUGCAACGCGAAGAACCUUACCUGGUCUUGACAUCCACAGAACUUUCCAGAGAUGGACUGGUGCCUUCGGGAACUGUGAGACAGGUGCUGCAUGGCUGUCGUCAGCUCGUGUUGUGAAAUGUUGGGUUAAGUCCCGCAACGAGCGCAACCCUUAUCCUUUGUUGCCAGCGGUCCGGCCGGGAACUCAAAGGAGACUGCCAGUGAUAAACUGGAGGAAGGUGGGGAUGACGUCAAGUCAUCAUGGCCCUUACGACCAGGGCUACACACGUGCUACAAUGGCGCAUACAAAGAGAAGCGACCUCGCGAGAGCAAGCGGACCUCAUAAAGUGCGUCGUAGUCCGGAUUGGAGUCUGCAACUCGACUCCAUGAAGUCGGAAUCGCUAGUAAUCGUGGAUCAGAAUGCCACGGUGAAUACGUUCCCGGGCCUUGUACACACCGCCCGUCACACCAUGGGAGUGGGUUGCAAAAGAAGUAGGUAGCUUAACCUUCGGGAGGGCGCUUACCACUUUGUGAUUCAUGACUGGGGUGAAGUCGUAACAAGGUAACCGUAGGGGAACCUGCGGUUGGAUCACCUCCUUACCUUAAAGAAGC
rnacentral:rRNA from 1 species